CUGUGAUGCCGGCACGCCGUGUUGGGGCACCAGUUCUAGUCCUGGCCGCUUUGCUUCCUGCCUAGUUUCCAGUUAAGGCUCCUGGGAAGAUGGCAGUAGGAAGCCUACGUGCUUGGGCCCCUGCCACCCACGUGGGAGACUAGGAUAGAGUUCUGGCUCCUACCAUAGACCUGGCCCAGCCCUGACUGAUGUUCACUUUGGGAGUGAGAGCAGUAAACAGAAAAGGUAAAUGCCAAAUGAGGCGACAAUGAUACAUAGAACCAGAACUCCCAUCUUAUGCCCGGCAAACUCUUUGAGGGGCUUGCAAGCUGCGUAUGCCGUGAUGACAGAACCUUCAAGAAGAAACGGUUUCGCUCCUUGUUGAAUUGUUUCAGACUUACUAUUUUGGCACUGGGAAUAUAAGAAAGACCUCAAAGAUGGGCCUUGAUGUUGGAUAAGAAGGCUUAACCAAAUGAAGCUGUCCAUUCUCCCUCAGCAAGUCCACAAAUUUAAUACAAGACCAAUUAAAAUACCCACAGGAUUCUGAGGAAAACUACAAAAUGUACUGACACCCUCUUGGAGAAGCAACAUGGAAGAACGGACAGCAACGACCCCUUCUCUUUUAUCAACUUCAAUGCUGAAUAUUCCCCACAAUACAGAAAACACACAUUAUAAGCAUUUAAAUAAUGGAAAAACAUUAAUGAAGACCAUAUUCUGUACCACCAGCAUAUUACAGACACCAACUAGUAACCUACUCAACAGGUCUAGGAGGAGGUGGUUGUUAAUGGAUUGAAUCAUAAAGUGAUUCGCAAGAAACCAAGAAGAUACUGGUAGCUGGCAAUGGGGUGCUGUUGAAUCAACAGGGUUGGUAGCGAUGUUGCCUAAAGUGAUAAACAGGAAAUGAACCGAAUUAAUGUAUUGGCUAAGGAGAUGUUCAGGAAGAAUAUUACAAGUGUUGCCUGAUUUUUUUCCUCUCUCUAUCAUGAAAAUUGAGAGGAGAUAAAGAGCUGAUAAAAAAUAAACAAACAAAUGGAAACAAGUCAGAGCUUCCUGGAUUUGACGAUAAAGUUAAUUCUCAUUCCUGGAUCCACCAUAUGGGAAAUAAUUCUCAAGGAAGGACCCAGGGCAAAGAUCAAACCCACGAUGUUACCCUCAGAUCCUUCGUUAUGACUCAGAAAAGUUAGGGCAGUGCCUGGAACUUCUCAGAAGCUGCUCUAAGGCUCUCAAGGCUGCCUCUUGAAACCACUCAUUCAGCACAAGGCUUCUGAGUCUAGAAAGGACGUUUGUGCCACAGGAGCCUCACAGGGAGCCCAAGAAGGAAAGGACUUCUCUCAAAGAGAUUUGCCCAUUGUGGCUUUCACCUAAUGGAGUAAACCCCAAUAAAAUUUAUUUGAAAUCCAGAUGCUUUUAUGAGAAUUGUUCUAGAGGAACUCGCUGCUCGCUUGGCCUUCAGAGAGGAAACUUGAUCUGUAAAGGGGAA